UUGAAUGCCAAAAGAGACUUCCUUGGAAAAUGCAAAGCUUUGCAAGAAGAUAUUUCAUCUUUUAGCAAUGUAAUUUCUUUAACUGAAAAAGCAGAGAAGCUUGAGCACUCAGGCAGUGGAGAUAACAUAACUGUUGAACUCAAAGAAGUAUCCAACCGAUAUGAAGAAACAGUGACAAGAGCUCAGGAACUUGUGACAAGAGGUGAGGAAAAUGUUGCUAUUCAUCAGUUGUUUUUGGAUGCUUGCCAAGAAUUCAGUGAUUGGUUAAAUGAAGUAAAC